GUUAACCCUUAAAACCAUUAACUCAUUAACUUAAAUGAGUUAUGGAUUGACCCAACCCAUUUGUCAAAUGGAUUGGUUAAAACCAUAACCCAUAUAAGCUUAAAACCAUUUGGAUAUUGUU
rnacentral:pre_miRNA from 1 species